rnacentral:rRNA from 1 species
UGAGUAACCUGCCCUUAACUCUGGGAUAAGCCUUGGAAACGGGGUCUAAUACUGGAUAUUGACUUUUCCUCGCAUGGGGAUUGGUUGAAAGAUUUAUUGGUUUUGGAUGGACUCGCGGCCUAUCAGCUUGUUGGUGAGGUAAUGGCUCACCAAGGCGACGACGGGUAGCCGGCCUGAGAGGGUGACCGGCCACACUGGGACUGAGACACGGCCCAGACUCCUACGGGAGGCAGCAGUGGGGAAUAUUGCACAAUGGGCGAAAGCCUGAUGCAGCGACGCCGCGUGAGGGAUGACGGCCUUCGGGUUGUAAACCUCUUUCAGUAGGGAACAAGGCCAGUGUUUAGCUGGUUGAGGGUACUUGCAGAAGAAGCGCCGGCUAACUACGUGCCAGCAGCCGCGGUAAUACGUAGGGCGCAAGCGUUAUCCGGAAUUAUUGGGCGUAAAGAGCUCGUAGGCGGUUUGUCGCGUCUGCCGUGAAAGUCCGGGGCUCAACCCCGGAUCUGCGGUGGGUACGGGCAGACUAGAGUGAUGUAGGGGAGACUGGAAUUCCUGGUGUAGCGGUGAAAUGCGCA